rnacentral:rRNA from 1 species
AUUGAACGCUAGCGGGAUGCUUUACACAUGCAAGUCGAACGAGUGGCGGACGGGUGAGUAAUACAUCGGCACGUGACCAGUAGCGGGGGAUAACUAAUCGAAAGUGUGGCCAAUACCGCCCACAAUUGGAGCGGCCGGUAUCGGAUUAGCUAGGUGGGGGGGUAAAGGCUCACCAAGGCAACGAUCCGUAGCUGGGUUGGGAGGAAGACCAGCCACACGUGGACUGAGACACGGCCCAGAAUCCUACGGGAGGCAGCAGUGGGGAAUUUUUGACAAUGGGGGAAACCCUGAUCCAGCCAUCCCGCGUGUAUGAGAAGGCCUUCGGGUUGUAAAGUACUUUUGGCAGAGAAGCGGUAUCUGCAGAAUAAGCACCGGCUAACUACGUGCCAGCAGCCGCGGUAAUAC